GGACCAUCCAGAUAGAACAUGCUAAGCAACAGGAAGAGCAGCUCCAAUCAUCAUGUCUUGAAAGGGAUUUGUAGGACUAAUAUUGCAGAUCGAUGGACACUGAAUCUGGUGGUCCUCUGCUGUUGGUGCUUUCUCUUGGCAGUGCUCUUAGUGAACACUUAGGGAAAAUGCUCUCAUUUAAAUGUGUCUUGAUAAGGAGAUCAGAUGAUAUUAUUCCUUAAAAACUUGGAGGAUCAAGUCUUUUCUCUUGCAGAGUAUAACCUGGAUACUAGGAUCAGUCCCUUUUAAGACAGGGUCUUUGGGUACAAGUAUAUGCUUUUAAAUCACUUUCAAGAAUUUUCUCAUUAUAUAUGGUGCAUUAACUUUCCAAGACGUAUACAUCUGCAAAUUAAAGUGGAAGCUUUUGCAAUUGGAUACCUUGUUUUAUAAAAUAGAUAUGGCUUGUUAAAAUAUUUAAUUAAAAAAAAACGAACAAACCACAAAACAAACAAAAAACACUUUCAAUUAAAACAGAACCAAGUCAAUUUACUUAAAUUUUAGGGGAUCAGAUUUCAACAGAAAUUAAUUGUGCUUAGGCUAGGUUAGGUUUUCAUUAGUAAUCACUUAAUUGAUAUUCAUUGUUCAUUACAUUUAAGCAAAUUCAGGCUAACUGUGCAAAUACGGAAUUUAGCAAGCUCUUAUAAAAUCUGAAUUUAUACUGGGUCUGGCUGGAAUGUUAACUUUCCCGGCAGCAGCCCAUACAGUGCCGUACUCUGCACUUGUAGCUGGAACAGCAGUGUUAUCACACCAGUGUUGUGUCUACUGCUGAGCAGCAGUGGCACAGCAUCGGGCCUUUCUCUAACCCUCCUAGGGGGUGGGCAAAAAGUGAGGAGAGAAACAUCACCAGGGCAGCUGACCUAAACCAAUCAAAGGGAUAUUCCAUACCAUGUGGUGUCACACUCAGCAAUAAAAGGUGGAAACAGGAAGAAGAGGGGAGGGGUGGGCUCUCGUCUGGAAGACGUCGGUCCUCCUCUCGAACACUCAGCUGCCCUAGUGAUGUUUCUCUCCUCACUUUUUGCCCACCCCCUAGGAGGGUUAGAGAAAGGCCCGAUGCUGUGCCACUGCUGCUCAGCAGUAGACACAACACUGGUGUGAUAACACUGCUGUUCCAGCUACAAGUGCAGAGUACGGCACUGUAUGGGCUGCUGCCGGGAAAGUUAACAUUCCAGCCAGACCCAGUACAGUGAGACACCCCAAAUGGGGGUGGACCCCCUGCCCUGUCACUGUCGGGCAGAGGGAGGGGACCUGGGAGUUGAGGAGGAAUGGAAACAGGUCCCUGCUUAACCUCGCAGGCGAUGCCCUCCCCUUCCAGUCCUGCCUUCCCAGGUGCCCUUAUACAACAGAUUUGAGGCCCUGGAGCUUGAGGGACCUGUGGGUGAGGAUGAGG
rnacentral:lncRNA from 1 species